UCCCUUGUAGCUCAGUUGGUAAAGAAUCUGCCUGCAAUGUGGAAGACCCAGGUUCGAUUCCUGGGUUGGGAA
rnacentral:tRNA from 1 species